rnacentral:rRNA from 1 species
UACGAAGGGGGCGAGCGUUGUUCGGAAUUACUGGGCGUAAAGGGCGCGUAGGCGGUUUAGCGAGUCAGGCGUGAAAUUCCCGGGCUUAACCUGGGGGCUGCGCUUGAUACUGCUAGGCUUGAAUUCCGGAGAGGAUGGCGGAAUUCCCAGUGUAGAGGUGAAAUUCGUAGAUAUUGGGAAGAACACCGGUGGCGAAGGCGGCCAUCUGGCCCGGGAUUGACGCUGAGGCGCGAAAGCGUGGGGAGCAAACAGG